ACGGCGGUUUCGGCGUCCGUGGCGGAAAUAAUUUUCAAUAUUUCCGAUGCGCGGGUUUUCCUUCUGUCCCGACAUACGCUGUGUUCGCUGCAGCUCUCUGCCGCUGCCUCGUUCUCUCGGCUGUACAGUACGUUCCCGGUCGGUUCUCCGCCACUUCCUUUUUCCUGCACUACGUCAUAGAAUUUCGUGAUCACGUGACCGGCAGCGCCAUCUUGCUUGAUUUUGGUAUUUUUGUUGGCUCCCUGUUGGUAAUGCUCAGAUCGCUCGACUCAACUACUCACUAUUUUAUACGGCGGGCUACGUUACAUAUAUCUAUAUUAUAUACCAGUGUACUACAACUACUACAACUACCAAAAAGGCUUUCCCCCAGUUUGUGUGACGUGUGGCUUUGUGUUUGUGUGCGUAUGUACUUGUAAUAACGUCUUGCGCCCAUUAGGACUGACGCAUUGCCAUUAAUCUGCCGUUGUGAAGUUAAAGGUUUUUUAUUAUUAUUUAUAUUAUAUAGAAGUACCUCUUAAGUGGUAUUGUAUUUUUUUUAAUUUUUUUUUUACCGUUUCCGAGAUAGUGCUUAUUGUUAUUAACAUAGGUUCGCGAAAAUGAUUUCCGCGACCAUCGAUCCGUACGCGCGCGUUAAUUCGAAAACAAAAAUGUGAUCCGAAUUAUGAAAAGUACAUGAAGCGAACAGCAGUGCGUCGUCAUCGGUCCUCUCGCCGCUGCGGCCUCGUUCGUGCGGCGCGUAAACAACUCCGCCGGAUAACAGCCGCCACACGGAGGGCCGCUUUACCCCUACGUUGUUUUGAUAUUUAAUACCUCUCCUACAUCGAUCGAUCAGCGAUCGUAUUAAAACGUGAGUGUUGGUGUACAUAUUAUUACAACACACAGGUACGCGUAUCGUCGUCGUUUCUUUUUGUAUUCGACUUGCGCGUUUCUAGAAUUUUAUUACGUUUGUGCUUGGUGAAGUUUUCGUUUUCGUCUUAAAGUCUCGCACUUUGUUGUAAAAUCGUGAUUAUGAAGAUAAUGACUAAGAAAUAUUGCUGUUUGCCGACGACGUCGUUCGAAAACAUCGAUACCACGUACCUUGUGUAACAAUAAUAUAGGUACCAAGUUGUGAUUCGUUUUCAUUACAUUAACUACUCAAUGCAAUGGCAGACACAGAAAUUGAACAGAUAAAUGAAAAUGAUUUAAGCGUUAAAUUAAAUGGUAGUAUUCAUGCCAAUACUGAACAACUUAAACAGUCAAUUGAAUCACGAAAA